UAAGAACUAGUGAGUGCAAUUUUUCCACUGUAAUUUUUGCAUUUUCUGGGCAAAAAAAAAUGAUUAGGAGCAGAUGGUAAAACUGGCUCCACAUUUUAUAAUAACUCAAGAACUCAGCUCCAGGCUCUUCAAAGACUGACUGACCGCUAUGCUAACUUCCAAGUUACCUGUCAUUGAUGUACUUACUGAAAUCAGAAUUGGAAGCAAAGAGCCAGGUCAUAGAAGGGUAAAAAUAAACAUAUGAAACAAGAAUCUGGAUAUUUCCAAUAAAAUCUGGUGUCAGAAGUACUAGCUCUUCAUCCUACCUUGCCAAUAUUUUGAAGUAUAUGAAGAAAAGGGAGAAAUGAAUAAUGGUUAGCCUACUGGUGAGUGGCUGAGACAUCAGCCUUCAUUUCUUUUUCUUUUUUUUCCCUGGGGCAAGGUGAUGCACCCGAUCUUCUUGACCCUGAACUACAAGUAAAUGAGCUAAAGGUCCUUAUAAUUAGCAAUCAAUACCCAAUUAGUGUAAGUCUAGUUGGGGAAAGGGAAAAUAAAUCCUUAGAGAAGACAACGUUUUAGUUUGUUCUUUAAGUUAUUUAGCUUUCUUAUUGUUCUCUUGGAGACUUCCAAGAGAAAGAUAGAGAAGAGAAGGUUAAAGAAUCCCAGAGGUAAGAGUUCACAUUAAAGGAUGAUAUAUGUACUGAAAAAUAGGUUAAGAUUUCUGUAUUUGAGUCCUUUCUGAAACCCACCUGCUCUUCAUGAGAACAGGGGGCUUAGGAAGAUGAGUAGAUGGGAGACACUCCAGCUGUUCCUAUAACUCUAAUUCUGUCUUGCUGAAGGCUCACUCAUAGAGAUAAAUCACUCUCAUUACCUGUCCUUGAGGAAUGAAGUUUCUCCUUGUUUCAAAUGAAGAAAUGAAAGAGGAGUCCUGGAAAUUCAUUCUGGAAGUCUGCCUCUCCAGCUAUACUCUGCUGUAGGUCACUCAUGAGAAUUAACGAUUAUAUUAACUUUUAUCCAUAAAUUGAUAUGGAAAAAUCAGCAUUUAGGAGAUGAGAAGCUUGUGUAGUUCUAACGUGAUGUGAGGAAUAGGCUGGCUAAUCUAAAACUGACAGGCACUGAGCACUCUCAGCUUCCUGCCCCAUUUGACAUCAUCGGUUUAUGGGAAGAUACCCUCAAAGCAUAGCACAGUACAGUUUAAACAUGCAUCUACUGAGAUAUGGCCAAGGACCUGUGCUCUCUGGGAGAAGAUGGUUAUAUUUAAAGCCAUUUAGUUUUGUACAUGGUAGUUAUAAAGGUGGGGGCAUUAAGUCAAGGUUUUGAUAUUUGUUUUCUCCCACCCAAGUGCUAACCAGGUCCAACCCUGCUUAGCUUGCAAGACCAGACAAGAUCUGGUACGUUCAGGAUGAUCUGGAUGUAGACUUGAUACUUGUUUUCUAUGCCUCUCAUUUACUGGAUUCCUCCAUUAUCUAUGCUGAUGACCCAUUGUCAUGUAUUAUCUUUGCUAAGGUUGAGGGGAAAGGGUAAAAGCACCAUGACAGGACAGUUAGAGUUGGUGGUCAUGCUCAGAGUUCUGUUAAGAGGUACCUGUUUAUAAACUGAGUAGGAUUCAUUUUGCAUUCCACACUUAUACUGUAUACAGUCAACCCUGCAUAUCCAUGGGUUCCACCUCCAUAGACUCAAUCAACUGUAGAUUGAAAGUAUUUUUAAAAGUUGUGCCAGUACGAAACUUGUUUACACAUUUUCCCUGUCAUUAUCGCCCAAACAAUACAGUAAAACAAUUAUUUACAUAGCAUUUAGAUUGUAUACGGUAUUAUAAGUAUUCUAGAGAUGACAAAGCAUACAGGAGAAUGUGCAUAGGUUAUAAGCAAAUACUACUCCAUUUGAUAUCAAGGCCUUGUGUAUCUUCAGAUUUUAGUAUCUGUGGGAGGUCCUGGAACCAAUCCUUCAUGGAUACCAAAGUACAACUGUGUAUGGUUAUCAUAUAGAUGAGCAAUACUAUCUCGAUCUAAAACAGAACUAUAUAUAGUUCUAUUUUAAUCUAUGAAUCCAAAUAUGACAAAACAUUUAGUUCUUUUGAGGCCAUUCGAGGUCACUGUAGGCCACAAUUUCCCGAGCAUCUUAUAAAACCCUUCUAGCACUUCUUUUUUAACUUGAGAAUUGCUUGCCCUUCUGUUCCCUUCCUGCAGUUGAUCAGAUGGUCAGGAGGACUUCCUAGAUCUAUAUCUCAGAGUUUUGUUUUGUAUUUGUGGUGGAUUAGGUCAGGGACCAUAACCAAGAUCAUGUGUGUGUUUGUGGUCAGGUGAGGGAGAUUCCAGCCCUGUUCUGGGGACUGCACUGUGGAGAAUGAGAUUAUGAAACUUGGAAGUAAAACAGGACCAUGGAGAGCAACAAGAAAAGCCUGGUGUGUCACUGUCAGGGGCUAGCACCAUGGAGAGCUCAAAGCACAGGUAUAACGGUUUGCUCCACAAAGUACAGGGGAACUGGGAUCAUGGGGUAAGGCAGACAGCUCUCAAGCACAGGAACUAAAAGAACAGACAUCAUGGUUUCUACUAGAAUCACUCUACGUUCAUCACUUGCUCUGUAAGGUCUCCUUGAAAUGCUUUGUUUGAACCCGUCAGGUUGAUAUACAGCCAAGAGACUGUGCUGAAAAAUGAGGACCACCACCAGACUGAGUUUGUCAACAUUAGCCUCUGCGAUUAUGUUGCCUAGAUAUUAGUGGUGAUGGAGGGGCUUUUAAUGUGCUACAACUUAUCAUGAGUAAAAUUAGGCCUAUCUUCUAAAGAGGGAACAGAGAGCCCGUGCCCCCUAAGAGACAGUAGGGCACAAGAAAGUCAAAAUGUGUAUUUUCAUCAGGUAAGGUAUGAGAUGUCUCAGACUCAGAAUGCCCUAGUGUAUCCAGAAUUGCUGUAAGUAGUUCAGACAAUCAUACCUGGAAGAGAGGUAUGGAAUCAUGCCUCUUAAGAAGAAUACUGUUCUCAGGAUUUAGAAGUCUCUCUUUUGGGAAAUGUGAUGACUUAAGGCUUAGGAAAAUUUUGGUGAAGAAAGAGAUGAUUAUUUAGUACUUGCUGCUUCAUUGAAGAAUAUGUACCUUUACUUCUUAGUAUCUUAGUUUCUAUUUUGUAAAAAUCACAAAGCUUCAUGUGUUCAAGCCUCCUGAGAGUUUGACUUCUCUGUACUAGAAGGGAUGGAUCUCCUCAUCAUAUAUAACAGGAUUGGACUGGGUUUUUACUUGGGUAGUUAUUGGCGCCCUGGGCACCAGGUGGUUCUGAUCUUGUAAAAAAAAAAUCACUACUGCUGAUCCUAGAGGCAGAAACAGGUCUCUAGCCCUGAAAACUUGUGCUUCUUCAUUUUAUGAUGACAUGGAUUGUUUAUACUUAAUCUCAGCAAGCUUUUAGAAAUGGGAUAUUUUUCUGAUGGCUUGCUUCUCCGGGGUCUUUUUCUGAUGGUUUGCUUCUCUGUGUCUUUUGUAAGCAUUUCUGCGGGGAUUGCUAUUCUCACAGAUUAUGGGUGGACCUCUAAAACAUGACCCCAUACAGGAAACAAAAUGUUCUAGUGCACGGGCCGAUAGCCAGUGGUUAAACAUGAAAUAUUACAUUCUAACAUGAAAAAUAAAAGAAGAUGUAAUUACCAAAACUUUAUAACUUUGAAUUUUUCACUCAGUAGUCAGUAAGGAGCUGGUCCAGUGUACAGCUUGCUUUCAACAAGAAUCUGGAACCUAGUAAGGAGCUGGUCCAGUGUACAGCUUGCUUUCAACAAGAAUCUGGAACCUAGAUCACCAUCCUUAGGCAAAAUUCCAUUACUGAGAAUUAGAUGACAAAAAGGGGAUAGUUGAGCCAGUAGGCAUUUCCACCGGAGUAGGAAACAGCAAAGAAUGAGACUAGUCACAGCCCCAGGGGUUUUACUUCUCUGGUGAUACUGUGAAGAUUUUUCUUCCUACCAUGUGAUUUAACGAAAAGAAACUUUCGAUUGAAUUUUACGUAUUAUUUGACUGCAAGAAAGUAGUAACAGCAAGGAGUACCGAAAUCAAAUCUAAGAAUUUACAGAGCAAUGGCACAACUACUCAGUUAGUUAUUUCAAAGUAACCAGAACACCAAAGAGAUGCUGUGUGUGGAAUUUUAUGGCUGCAGAACUAUGAGUCACUCUCUUCAAGUGAAUAGCGAAUAUCUCCAACAAGGUACUCUUGCAAUUAGAUUGGACUUCCUUUCUUCUUCAGUUGGAAGAGGAAGGAGAAAGAGCCUGGGGGUAGUAAGCUGGCUCAUUCUAUCAGUCUAGUACGGAGGAUUUUGAACUGUAUGGUAGAACCCCAGGUAGUUCCUUAAGGAUUAUAGGAAUGUGUAAAAGCCAGUAAGACAGGGAAAAGAUAUAUAGGUCUUAUUUCAUUAUCUCAGCCAUAGCAAUUCUUCUUUGGUAUGUUUUACUUAUUUGUUAAAAAUGUCUCACAGCUUUGUUUUAAAAACAAAAUGAGAAAACUGCUGCCCUAGGGGAAACUAUUCAAACCAACAGUGCUAUCCAGAUUAUGGAGAAGCUUGGAAUAGAAUGAUACAACUGCUGGGUAGGCAGCUGACAUUCCAUAGAUUGGGACCUACAUCAAACAGACUGGUUCUUCAUGGGAUGAACUAAACUCUGCUAUACGAGUGUCUCUGUGAUGAUCUUAACUUUUCCAUCCCAGAAAAUGCACAUGUCUAAAAGGAGAGCAUAUCUUUCCCAAGAGUUACAGCUGCAACUAGGAGAACAGGAACAGAAACAGAACAGUUACAGCUGCGACUAGGAACAGAAACUGGCUGGAGUUGAUCUGCCAAACAGAUCUGUGGGCAGCACUAGAGUGAAUGCCUGCUGGACUUCUGUGGCACAUAGGGCAUGAUAUCCUCACUGGGCAUCUGGCCAGGGGCCUGCAGAAUGGAUGGUCAUGGACAGAGGUCAUUGAGAAGAAAUAGAUGUUCAUGUGUGGGGCAGUGCAGUACAAGGUUAAAUUGCGAUAACCUUAUCUGAAACAAAGAGAAGCUAUCCAUCUGUCUUUACCCUAGGUCAACUCACAGGAAAUAACUUGAAAAGGGAGAGCCCAAGAAAACUGGUCAUGGUGUUGAGUAUUGGGCUGUUCACCAGAGAGAGGACACAUUAAAUUCAUAAGAUUUGUGUUAUCCAAAUCUGGAAUUGUCAACUUCUGUGAAUACUAGUGAGAAGGAAGGGUGGAUGGCACAUUCUAAAUGUCUUACCCAUUCCUCAACUUCUAGCCACAACACUCAUGGCCAGUCUUAGAUAUCAGUUGCUUGCCCUCUCAAUCUCUGUUCAGCCUUAUGAAGCUUAAAAAAUUUAUGCUGUACUCCAGGAAACAAUAUGCCCCAGCAGCAUAUAAAGUUUGUUUUCUUAUUCUAAAUGAAAAUGGAUAUGCUGCCACAACACUCUUGACAAUUCAAGCAUCAGCAUAAGAGUAUCUUGUCCUUAUACCAUCACACCGCCUGUCUCAUAGUUUUGGUCAAACACUACCAGUUAAAGAUAAAUACGGCCUAGCCUUCUUCCCAGGGGCCUCAGGCCAUCUCGGGGGUACUAGACACACCUCCAUGAUCCUGGGCAAAAUAGUCUUCAGGAUUACUAUCUCUAAGCAUUAAAUCUGUGCAUUUACCUCCCACUAUCAGCGCUAGCCUUCUUAGAUCCAGAAACUAAAAGACACAAUUAAUCUAAGAUAGAAGAUAUGGUGGUUAUGUCUCAUGCAUCAGCAUGUUCUGAGAUACUGCACACCAGACAGAUGUCCAUUUUCUGUAAAGAUAGUGCUCAACAAGGAAAAUGAUGCUUGAUUUGACUCCUUUUUGGAAACAGACCCCUGCUGUUUAUCUCCCAUUUCCCCACCUCUCCUCUAGAAAUUCCCCAUUCAGAAGUUACUGCCUUCCACUGUUUCUCUCAGGCCACUGCUCUGAAACAUAUUUCUAAAUAUGAUAGAACGUUCCUCUUCCUCUCAACUUUAAGCCUGAAUAGGGGCUGAGCCCCCAAUUUGAGGACCAAGAAAGAAGAGUGUAGUUGGUGAAGAAAGACUUGGCUAGUAUACUGAUUUACUCUAGUCUAUAGUUUUUUUACAUCUUAGAGUAGAAGAGCUCACAGCUUUCUGGAUGACGUCUUUCUUUUUGGGGCCCAGCCUAGCACCAUCAGUUCCCAUUACUGAACAGUUGCAGUUUGGAUCGUAUUUGCCUCUCUUUAUGAAACUCAGCAGGUAAGGAAGGCCAGGGGCUGCAGCUGAAAGUCAAGGCCUAGUAGGAGGGUCAUUAUUGAGGCACAAACACCCAGCAGCCUCUCUGUCUCAAACUUAGCCUGCUCUCCCCAAGGACUCCCUCCAGCUCCUCAGUGAGUGGGGUCAUCAGUGCAGUCCUCUGGGGAAGGGGAUUCCACAUAGGGGAAAGAAGAGGCUGCUGUCUCUGUGGUGACUAGGGCGGGAACUCCCUUUGGGGAGUUUGAUGGGUAGAGGGCUGAAGGAGUCAGCCAGCCAACUUAAGGGAGGGGAUCCCCAGGGUCCCCAUACCAGAGGAAGCUCCUUUAUCAUGAUGGAGACAGGGCUGGGGGAGGUCAGGUGAGGUGGAGCGAUUAUUCCUCCAGCACCCUGGCUAUUCGCCUGUUUUCCUCAGAUGAAAUUCUCUACAUCAUCCUCCCCAGUUUCAACCCCUCCCCUCUCCACCCCCGCCCCGCCCUGUGCCCAUCCCUGCUGGCCACUGGGUCCAUCGCCCAGGAGCCACCUCCCCUUUCUCCUCCCCUGCGGUUCUUUCUGUUUUUCGUUGGCAUCUGGCCGGGCACAGCCACCACCCUCCCCCUUCACUCUCCCUACUUCCCUUUGCUCCACAGAGGUCCUGUUCCCUCUCCCCCUUCCUCCAUCCCAGCCUUCCUCCUCUUCCUACCGGGCGGAGGAGAGAGGAAGAUGCAUUCCUUUAGUCUCUUCACAGCUUGCUCUCCCUCCCCAGGGACCUGAGGCUCUGAGCUGUGGCCCCCUUCCGGGUUUCCCUACAGGCUGCCCCUCUGCCAUCCCACUAACCGUUUGUAGCCUUUAAGAAAGCUGAGGUGCCCCCACAGCGCUGACCUACAUAGCCUGGCCCAGGGCGGGAGGGGCUCUUCCCCAAGUCCCCUCACCCCUGGCCCCUCCUCCUUUCUCCUCAGACUCCCCUCCUUCAUCUCUCUACCAUCAGGAACCUAAAAGAAGGUUUGAGUUCCAGACUGGGGCAAAGGGGCUAGGUAUGCUACCUCAUCCAAAAUCUGGGAAAAUCAGUGCUUAGCCCUGAAAAUUUGGGUUUCCCAUGCAUCCUCCUCCCCAAAUAUCUUGAUCCUUUCUUUUGCUCCCUCCCACCCCCACCCCGCCUCUGCCCCUGUCUGGAUUUCUUUUCCCAGCUUCUACCACUGCCAGGGAUGUUGCCAUCCUGGGCCCCCUCCGCCCUGUGUUGUUGUUUUGCUCCAAGGAUAAGGGCCCCCUUCUUUGCCCACGCCCCCCUCAGCAGCCUCACCCAGGCCCCCUUCUCUGCCCACUCGGCGCUGGGGCGCUGGGCCGCCGGUCUCGGUGGGGGACGGGCGGGGGAGCAGAAAUGUUUGCAUACAUCAGUUUGGGGGAUUGCACUGGCUACCAAACCCCUACAGACAUACAUACACAAACACCCGACAUACGCCCUGACUGAAACAGCGACAAAUCUCACUCCGCCCCCAACACACACCGACACAGACAUACACACAGAUACUGACACAGAAACGCAGAGCCAGACACCAACACAGACGCGCGCGCACACGGACAGCAACACAGCCAGACCUCGGGCUGCUCAUAACGGACAUCAGCCGCGAGAGCCAAAGCCCGGUGCACACGCAGACACACGCUCGGUGGUGUACACAGAAGGGUGCACACGCCGGCACACCCACGGUCCACAGAGACACGGAUGCUCAGAGACAGACACAAGGAUAACUGGCCAUCAGAAAACAUUUAAAGAUGAAGAAAGAAGAAAAUCUGAACACAGACUGAGAAAACAAGGAAAUGAAUCUCAAACAUAAGCUUACUGGAUAUUUGAUGCCCGUGGCGAUGUUGGCAAACAGAUCUUGAAGAUAGACGGCCAGACAAAUGGAUGGAAACCAUGCCUGAGUCACUGCUUGGAAGAGAGCCACCAAACCAAGAGUGCUUACAUUCGACUGGAAUGUGAGCAAAACAUUCUUUUGUGUGUGUGUGUGUGUGUGUGUGUGUGUUCAGCCGUUGGGAAUUUUGGCUGAUAUAGCAACUAGUGUCACUGAGAUUAAUACAGCCACUGUUACUAGUAAACUUUCUCCUGAGAUGACUCUGUGGUCUGCAGAUUGAGAUCUGCUGGCCUUUUUUCUUGAUCUGUAUGCUUUUCUCUUUACCUCUCUCCCCAGAUUCUUUCUGCUUUCCCUGCAAUCAUGUCUUCAGAUGAAUAAUGAAAUCAACAAAGAGCAAGGGAACAGAGGAGUAAUGAUUAUUUCAUUAAUUGAUUUUAUUUUUCUGCUUAAUUUGACAGCAUGGGAGCAGCCAAGGAGCUGGGUGGAAAGCAAGGACAGGUGCUUGUGGGCUUAAACUCCUGAGCUGGAAGUGGAAAAGGUAUAAACAGUAAAGACUUUACGUUUCAGUGACAUGAUUUUAAAUCGAGAGCCAAGACAAAGGGUGCUUUCUCACCACUUUGCAUCUAUAGGAUCAGUUUCUUGUUUAUUUCCGACUUUCUAGUUGGCAGAGUACCCUUGAAAUGUCAGCUUUGUCAGUGGAGCACGCUGAGUCAUUACUAGGUCUACAACAUCGGCACAGGAUGCUCAGGGAGUUGCUUCUACCUAAAACCAAGCUGUGUGCUGGGAGCCUAGGUAUAGAUACCUGUAUAGGAGAGAAAACUGAAAGCACAGGUGUUGAAGAAGGUCAAAAUUACACACACACAAUAAGAAAACCAAGAACCAAAAACUUAGAAAACACAACAACAAAAAAAGCAUGCUACAAAAACACAUCAAACUCGUCUCUGAGAUCUUAUAAUUUUCCAUUUAUAUAAAUUGUCUUCACAGGUACACUCACGACAUGAUCAAGUAGUGAUUGUACCUAAAACAAUUGUCAUACAGUGUUAUUUGAGCAGUAGUAUUGGGUAAUGGUUUCUAAAUGAAGAUUACUCCACAGUUACCUAGGGAUUAAGUGGCUUAACUGGAAUUGAAACAUGGUUUUUCAGGGCUCCCUCAAUGGUUUCCAUCACCAGUUUAUAUAGGCAAUAGAGAAUUCAUUUGUCUUGAAUAAUUCUUUAGCUUUCCACAGCCAAAUAUCUUGCUCCUGGGGAAAGAGCUUGCUCUGAUGUGUUGGAUUUUGGCUGAGAAUCUCUGGGUUUGAAUCUUGGCUCUGCCACUUACAAUCUUUAGGAGAACGGGUGAGUCACAACAUUUCUCUUUGCCUCAGUUUCUUUAUUAGUAAAAUAAGAACAAUCAUAGGGCUUACCGCAUAGAUUUCUCAAAGGAAUUAGAUGACCUAAUAGAUGUAAAUUAUUGGAACAGAAACUGCUAAAUCCAAAUUAGUUGUUGCUAGUGUUGUUUUUCUGUUGUGGGGUAAAUGCAUUUCCGUUGGAGCUUCGGUUUGACUGCAACUCAGUUGUACAUGCCUUAUGACUCAAGUUCCUUCAGCCUUCUCUACAAUGUAUUUACAGCACUGGAUGUCCAUAACCAGCCUUUCUUUCCGACAGUCAUAGCUGGGCUCUAGCCUUUUCUGUGGAGCUGUACUUCUUUCUCCUUCUCCCUUUCUCCAUUGAUUCUUAUCUUCCCUGCAAUUGGGUGCUUUCCCCUUAAUGGCAGUUUUGCACGUGCUAAUCCAAUCUUUUAGCUUUGGUUCAAGGGUUAUAAUGAUGAAGGAUUUUCAUCAAUUGGAAUAAGAAUACUUAAUGCUUAACAUUUUUCAGAGCCAGCUCUGUGGCAGAGAGGACAGUUUAGGAGAAAAAGACAGAACAAUAGCUGUGAUAAUGACACAGGCAAUCACAGAAGGGCAAGAGAACAAGCUGUCCUAGGAUGCUUGUGUAAGAAAAAUUGCACAUGUUGUCUUCCUAAUCAAAAGCUAUAAAAAAUUGACUGAAUUGCAUACUAAUAGAUACAUGACUGUACAAGAAAAGGAAUUAAGUGUCUUUUGCACACAGGACCUUUAAGUAUACAUCUUUUGGAGGCACAAUUUUUCAGAACAAAAGUACUCAAGGAAAUCUUAAACUUAACCCGUAGUUGUAUUGUUGCGAUUGUAAUUUUGAAAUUAUUUUAUGUACAUUCUAGAAUAAAGCAAAUAAGAGGUUAGUAACAUCAGAAUGCAACAUUUUCAAUGUAUGAGAAAAGAGGAACAAAUAUAUAAACAAAGGAAUUAGGAGGGGGAUAACUAUAAAAUCAAAUCUAAGUUGUAAAUAUUAGUAUGAACAUAAGAUUCUAUAUAACAUGCUGUGCAUAAUCUAUAUUAUUGCACGUAAUAUAUAUCAUGUAUUACGUGCAAUAUAAUUAAUCUAUAUAAUGUAACUAAUUUAUCUACAUAUAAUCUAUAAGUGUCUCUGUAUGUGUGAGAGUGUGUGUGGAGAAAGAGAGGGAUAAGGAAACAGUGGCACACACACACGCACGUGCGCACACAUACACACACACACACAAAGGGUAGGGGAGAGAAUGAAAAUACAUGCUUUAUCCAGUCUGUCCAGUGAAAGAACUUAGAAACCAUUAUGAUCCAAUAGUAUUGAGCACACCUGACACUAAGGUAUUUAUUGCUUUCUAAAAUAGCAUUCUCUCUAAAAAGAACUAGGGCUCCUUAUAGGAAUGGCUGAUUCUAGGUUUGAGACGGAAUAUUUACAGUGAUUGUAAGAUCUCUUAUUGUAUCAGGGAGUUUCUAGAGAACAAUUAGGGUCUUGACAAAAGGAUGCAGCUUGAAGGGGUUGUCACUGACUGAGUUUGGGACAAUACAAGCAUCAAAAAAAUAAUGUUUUUGAUUGAACAUAUUAAUAAAAAUGUCCAAGACCAAAAUGACAUUCAAAAGAAAAGAUAAAAUAUGAGAUUAUUUGCCACAAUAGAAGUUAUUAGUAUGCAAACUUCUUACUCUGAAAAUUAGUAAUUAAAAGGAAAUAAUUAAGCUGUACCCUGUUUGUAUUAGUCAGGACAGGUAGGUUAUGCUGCAGUAACAAACAACCUCAAAAUCUCAGCAGCUUGAAAUGAAAGAGUUUAUUUUCCACUUUCACUGCAUGUCUCUCCUGGAGUUACAAGUGUUCUGAUUCAUGUCAUCCUCACUGAGGGAGGCAGUUCGUGCUUUCACUCCUUGGUGCUUAUACCAACCAGUAAAAGAGGAGCAGAUCCCCAGGAGCCAUUGCUUCUUUAUUCGGAGUUCUGGUGGCAGAGAGAUGUAAUGCCAAACUAGGGACUGGAACAAAGCACACCAGAGCCACAGCUGGGCCUCAGCCAAAUCACAGACCUGUGAGCAAGAAAUCUGUGCAUACGCAAAUAAGAUACCAGAUUGUUUGUUACUGAUGCAAAAAUUGAUUAAUACACUCCCUAUGUAUGCAGAAGGAAAAAAAAACCCACACACCAGAAUAUUGGUAAAUAGCCCACAUGACUAUUAUAUUUCUUUUUUCUUUCUUUCUUUAUUAUACUUUAAGUUCUGGGGUAUGUGUGCAGAUCUUGCAGGGUUGUUACAUAGGUAUGCACAUGCCAUGGUGGUUUGCUGCCUCCAUUUCCCCUAUUACCUACAUUAGGUAUUUCUCCUAAUGUUAUCCUUUCCCAACCGCCUCACUCCCGGCUAUUGCUCCCUUAGCCCCUAACCCCUCCCCAACAGAUCUCAGUAUAUGAUGUUCCUCUCCCUGUGUCCAUGUGUUCUCAUUGUUCAACAUCCACUUAUGAGUGAGAACAUGCAGUGUUUGGUUUUCUAUUCUUGUGUCAGUUUGCUGAGAAUGAUGGUUUCAGAUUUAUCCAUGUCCCUGCAAAAGACAUGAACUCAUCCUUUUUUAAUGGCUGCAUAGUCUUCCAUGGUGUACAUGUGUCACAUUUUCUUUAUCCAGUCUAUUAUUGAUGGCAUUUGGGUUGUUCCAGGUCUUUGCUAUUAUGAAUAGUGCUGCAGUGAACAUACGUCUGCACACGUCUUUAUAAUAGAACGAUUUAUAAUCCUUUGGGUAUAUACUCAGUAAUGAGAUUGCUGGGUCAAAUGGUAUUUCUAUUUCUAGAUCCUUGAGGAAUUGCCACACUGUCUUCUACAAUGGUUGCAUUAAUUUACACUCCCAUCAACAGUGUAUAAGUGUUCCUUUUUCUCCAUAGCCUUCCAGCAUCUGUUGUCUCCAGAUUUUUUAAUGAUCACCAUUCUAACUGCCAUGAGAUGGUAUCUCAAUGUGGUUUUGAUUUGCAUUUCUCUAAUGACCAGUGAUGAGCAUUUUUUCAUAUGUUUGUUGGUCACAUAAAUGUCUUCUUUUGAAAAGUAGCUGUUCACAUCCUUUACCCACUUUUUGAUGGGGUUGUUUUUUUGUUUCUUUUGUAAAUUUGUUUUAGUUCUUUGUAGAUUCUGGAUAUUAGCCCUUUGUCAGAUGGAUAGCUUGCAAAAAUUUUUUCCCAUACUGUUGGUUGCUGGUUCACUCUAAUGACUGUUUCUUUUGCUGUGCAGAAUCUCUUAAGUUUGAUUAGAUCCCAUUUGUCUAUUUUGGCUUUUGUUGCCAUUGCUUUUGGUGUUUUAGUCAUGAAGUCCUUGCUUAUGCUUAUGUCCUGAAUGAUAUUGCUGAUGUUUUCUUCUAGGGUUUUUAUGGUGUUAGGUCUUAUGUUUGAGUCUUUAAUCCAUCUGGAGUUAAUUUUUGUAUGCAAAAAUCUUCAACAAAACACUGGCAAACCGAAUGCAACAGCACAUCAAAAAAUUUAUCCAUCACUAUCAAGUAGGCUUCAUAUUAGGGAUGCAAGCCUGGCAAAUCUAUAAAUGUAAUCAAUUACAUAAACAGAACCAAAGAGAAAAACUGCAUGAUUAUCUCUAUAGAUGUAGAGAAGGCCUUUGACAAAAUUCAAGAGCCCUUUAUGCUAAAAACUCUCAAUAAACUAGGUAUUGAUGGAACAUAUCUCAAAAUUAUAAAAGCUGUCUAUGACAAGCCCACAGCCAAUAUCAUACUGAAUUGGCAAAAACUGGAAGCAUUCCCUUUGAAAACUGGCACUAGAUAAGGGUGUUCUCUCUCACCACUCCUAUUCAACAUAGUAUUGGAAGUUCUAGCCAGAGCAAUCAGGCAAGAAAAAGAAAUAGAGUAUUCAAUUAGGAAAAGAGGAAGUCAAAUUGUCUCUAUUUGCAGAUGACAGGAUUGUAUAUUUAGAAGACUCCAUCGUCUUAGCCCAAAAUCUCCUUAAGAUGAUAUUAUAUUGCUUUUUAAAGGACGAGCUCUGUGAGUGGUGCAGAAGAUUCCCAGCUAAUAAGUGUAGAAGGAAUGAUACCAGUAGAAGUCACCAUUUUGAUAUCCUGAAAUAAUUGGUUCAGGAAAGAAUUAUCAAUGAAUUUUGGAGCCAUUAGGUAAAAGCUUUUUAGGAAAUAGAAUAUUUGGAUGAAGCCUAAGUACCACCCUACAAAUAUUUGCCUUAUAUAAUGGGUGAAGCGCCCUUUAAAAUGAAACUGUCAUCAUGAAACUAUGCCUCACUGAUAGUGGACAGCUUGGCAUUGUGUGCCUCCUGAGGUAAUUGAAGUAACAGGACUGCCUUUGAAGCACCCUUACCGCAAAUUUCAUCUGUGUGUCAUCAAGAUGUUUGUUCAGAUUCCCAUUACAUAAGGAGUACAGGAGACACAGGUUUGUGUUAAACAGUGCUAUGAGAUACAACAAUUCAGGAAUGUGGAAAUUUUAUAAAACUGUUGUUUGAGACUCUUUAACAUGCCAGUGUCAUGGGGAUAAAAAAGCACAGUCUGUGCUUUGUUUUAUUCUGGUUUAAAAUUAGCAAAAGAUAUAAAACAUCUAAAUGUAGUGCAUAAUCGUUGAUUGGAUUCUAGUUUGAAAAUGCUAACCACAAAUGAAUUUGUGGCUCAGUUUGGGAAAUUUGAAUAUGGCCUGGAUGGAGGAUAUCGGGGUAUAUUUGAUAAUGUUUCUGGGUAUGAUAAAGGUAUUGAGGAUAUAAGAUUUUUGUUAGCUUAGGAAACGUAUGCUGAUGUUGUUAUUGGCUAAAUGUCAUGGUAUUUUACCCAGUUUCAAAUGCCGCAUCAGUAAAUUUAUAUUGGGACACAAACAUACAUGCAGUUUUGCAGGUAAGGCAAAAUGUUAACAUUUAUUGCAUCUAAGUGAUGGGUAUAUCAGUUAUCUUAUUCUGUCCAAUUUAAAUUUGAAUUUAUUUGUCAUAAAGCUAGAAACGAAACAAAGCAAGACACUGCACGGAAAGUUUGUGUGUGUGUGUGUGUGUGAAGUUCAAAACUGUGGUUAAAAUGUCAUCCGGACCCAGAAGUCUAGUAAGGUAAGCAUGGCCUCCCCGUUUUCUUUAUCUUUGGUAUUCUUAACCAUUUUAUUUUAAAGGUUCUGAGCCUAAAUGCUUGCUCUUGAAUGUCUGUAUCUUUCAUAAUUUUCCUCAAACAAAGAAUAAUUUACUAAUUUAGGAGAAAGAGUUGAUAAUUACACUUUACUUGACUCAGGACCUCCUGAAGAAACCAUAUCUUACUAGAUGUCCUGGUGCUUUUCUGUUGUUGUUUUUUUUUAAUUGCAUUUUAGGUUUGGGGGUACAUGUGAAGAACUGCAAGAUUGUUGCAUAGGUACACACAUGGCAGUGUGAUUCGCUGCCUUCCUCCCUAUCACCUGUAUCUGGCAUUUCUCCCACGCUCUCUUUCCCCAACUCCCCACCACCCACUGUCCGUCCCCUAUUUCCCCCCGAUAGACCAUAGUGUGUGGUGCUCUCCUCCCUGUGUCCACAGGUUCUCAUUGUUCAAUACCCACCUAUGAGUGAUAUCAUGCAGUGUUUGAUUUUCUGUUCUUGUGUCAGUUUGCUGAGAAUGAUGGUUUCCAGGUUCAUCCAUGUCCCUACAAAGAACACGAACUCAUCAUUUUUGAUGGCUGUAUAAUAUUCCAUGGUAAAUAUGUGCCACAUUGUCCCUGUCCAGUCUAUCAUCGAUGGGCAUUUGGGUUGGUUCCAAGUCUUUGCUAUUGAAAACAAUGCUGCAAUAAACAUUUGUGUGCAUGUGUCCUUAUAGUAGAAUGAUUUAUAAUCCUUUGGAUAUAUACCCAGUAAUGGGAUUGCUGGGUCAAAUGGAAUUUCUAUUUCCUGGUUAUUGAGGAAUCGCCACACUGUCUUCCACAACGGUUGAAUUAACUUACACUCCCAUCACCAGUGUAAACGUGUUCCUGUUUCUCCAUAUCCUCUCCAGCAUCUGUUGUCUCCAGAGUUUUUAAUGAUUGCCAUUCUAACUGGGGUGAGAUGGUAUCUCAAUGUAGUUUUGAUUUGCAUUUCUCUAAUGACCAGUGAUGAUGCGCAUUUUUUCAUAUGUUUGUUGUCCUCAUGUAUGUAUUCUUUGUAAGUGUCUGUUCAUAUUCUUUGCCCACUUUUGAAUGGGCUCGUUUUUUUCUUGUAAAUCUGUUUUAGUCCUUUGUAGUUUCUGGAAAUCAGCCCUUUGUCAGAUGGGUAAACUGCAAAAACUUUUUCCCAUGCUAUUGGUUGCCGAUUCACUCUAAUGACUGUUUCUUUUGCUGUGCAGAAAGUGUGGAGUUUGAUUAGGUCCCAUUUGUCUAUUUUGGCUUUUGUUGCCAAUGCUUUUGGUGUUUUGGUCAUGAAGUCCUACCCUACACCUAUGUCCUGAAUGGUUUUGCCUAGGUUUUCUUUGAGGGUUUUUAUGGUGAUAGGUCUUCUGUUUAAGUCUUUAAUCCAUCUGGAGUUAAUUUUAGUGUAAGGUGUGAGGAAGGGGUUCAGUUUCUGCUUUUUGCACAUGACUAGCCAGCUUUCCCAACACCAUUUAUUAAACAGGGACUCCUUUCCCCAUUGCUUGUUUUUGUCAGGUUUGUCAAAGAUCGGAUGGUUCUAGAUGUGUGGUGUUACCUCUGGGGCCUCUGUUCUGUUCCAUUGGUCUAUAUCUCUGUUUUGGUACCAGUACCAUGCUGUUUUGAUUACUGUAGCCUUGUAGUAUAGUUUGAAGUCUGGUAGUGGGAUGCCUCUGGCUUUGUUUUUUUUUGUUUGUUUUUUUUUUUGCUUGGAAUUGACUUUGCUAUGCAGGCUCUCUUUUAGUUCCAUAUGAAGUUUAAGGUGUUUUUUUUCCAGUUCUGUGAAGGUUAUUGGUAGCUUGAUGGGGAUAGUGUUGAAUCUGUAAAUUACUUUGGAUGGUAUAGCCUUUUUCACAGUAUUGAUUCUUCCUAACCAUGAACAUGGAAUGUUUAUCCAUCUGUUUGUGUCCUGUCUUAUUUUGUUGAGCAGUGGUUUGUAGUUCUCCUUGAAGAGGUCCUUUUUAUCCUUUGUUAGUUGUAUUCCUAGGUGUUUUAUUCUCUUUGUAGCAAUUGUGAAUGGCACUUCGUUCUUGAUUUGGCUCUCUUUAAGUCUGUUACUGGUGUAUAGGAAUGCUUGUGAUUUUUGCACAUUGAUUUUGUAUCCUGAGACUUUGCUGAAGUUUCUUAUCAGUUUCAGGAGAUUUUGGGCUGAGACGAUGGGAUCUUCCAGAUAUACAAUCAUAUAGUCUGCAAAUAGAGACAAUUUGGCUUUCUCCUUUCCUAUUUGAAUACUCUUUAUUUCUUUAUCUUGCCUGAUUGCUCUGGCUAGAACUUCCAAUACUAUAUUGAAUAGGAGUGGUGAGAGAGGGCAUUCUUGUCUAGUGCCAGAUUUCAAAGGGAAUGCUUCCAAUUUUUGCCCAUUCCGUAUGAUAUUGGCUGUUUGUCAUAAAUAGCUGUUAUUAUUGUGAGAUACAUUCCAUCAAUACCUAGUUUAUUGAGGGUUUUUAGCAUAAAGAGCUGCUGAAUUUUGUCAAAGGCCUUCUCUGCAUCAAUUAAGAUAAUCAUGUGGUUUUUGUCUUUGGUUCUGUUUAUGUGGUGAAUUACAUUUAUAGACUUGUGUAUGCUGAACCAGCCUUGCAUUCCUGGGAUAAAGCCUACUUGAUCAUGAUGGAUAAGCUUUAUGAUGUGCUGUUGCCAUCAGUUUUCCAGUAUUUUAUUGAAGAUUUUUGCAUCUAUGUUCAUCAUGGAUAUUGGUCUGAAGUUUUCUUUUCUUGCGAGUAUCUGCCAGGUUUUGGUAUCAGGAUGAUGUUGGUCUCAUAAAACGAUUUGGGAAAGAUUCCCUUUUUUUGGAUUGUUUGUAAUAAUUUCAGAAGGAAUGGUACCAGCUCCUUUUUGUAUGUCUGGCAGAAUUUGGCUGUGAACCCAUCUGGACCUGGGAUUUUUCUGGGUGGUAGGCUCUUAAUUGCUGCCUCAACUUCAGACCUUGUUAUUGGUCUAUUGGGGUUUCAACUUCUUCCUGGUUUAGGCUUCAGAGGAUGCAAGUAUCCAGGAAGUUAUCAAUUUCUUCCAGGUUUACUAGUUUAUGUGCAUAGAGUUGUUUGUAAUAAUCUCUGAUGAUGGUUUGAAUUUCUGUGGAAUCUGUGGUGAUUUCCCCUUGAUCAUUUUUUAUUGAAUCUAUUUAGUUAUUCUCUCUUUUCUUUUUUAUUAAUCUGGCUAGCAGUCUAAUUUGCUGAUCUUUUCAAAAAACCAGCUCCUGGAUUUAUUGAUUUUGUAAAGGGAUUUUUGUGUCUCUGUCUCCUUCAGUUCUGCUCUGAUCUUAGUUAUUUCUUCUCUUCUGCUAGGUUUUGGGUUUUUUUAAUCUUGCUCCUCUAGCUCUUUGAAUUUUGAUGAUAGGGUGUCAAUUUUAGAUCCCUCCUUGCUUCUUAUAUGGUUAUUUAUUGCUAUAUAUUUUUCGCUAUACCCUGCUUUAUAUGUUUCCCAGAGAUUCUGGUAUGUUUUGUAUUCGUUCUCGUUGGUUUCGAAGAACAUCUUUAUUUCUGCCUUCAUUUCGUUGUUUAUCUAGUCAACAUUCAAGAGCCAGUUGUUCAGUUUCCAUGAAGCUGUGUGGUUCUGAGUUAGUUUCUGAAUUCUGAGUUCUAACUUUAUUGCACUGUGGUUUGAGAGACUGUUACAAUUUCCGUUCUUUUCCAUUUGCUGAGGAGUGAUUUACUUCCAAUUAUGUGGUCAAUUUUAGAGUAGGUGCAAUGUGGUGCUGAGAAGAAUGUAUAUUCUCUGGAUUAGGGGUGGACAGUUCUGUAAAUGUGUAUUAGGUUUGCUUGUUCCAGGUCUGAGUUCAAGUCCUGGAUAUACUUGUUAAUUUUCUAUCUCAUUGAUCUGUCUAAUAUUGACAAUGGGGUGUUAGACUCCCACACGAUAAUAGUGGGAGACUUUAAGUCUCUUUGUAAGUCAUUAAGAACUUGGCUUAUGUAUCUGGGUGCUUCUGUAUUUGGUGCCUAUAUAUUUAGGAUCAUUAGCUCUUCUUGUUACAUCGAUUCUUUUACCAUUAUGUAAUGUCCUUCUUUGUCUCUUUUGAUCUUUGUUUGUUUAAAGUCUAUUUUAUCACAGAUGAGAAUUGCAACGUUUGCUUUUUUUUUUUUUUUUUUUUUUUUUGGUGCUCCAGUUGCCUAGUAAAUCUUUCUCCAUUCCUUUAUUUUGAGCCUUUAUGUAUCCUUGCAUGUGAGAUGGGUUUCCUGGAUACAGCACACCGAUGGGUUUUGGCUUUUUAUCCAAUUUGCCAGUCUGUGUCUUUUGAUUGGGGCAUGUAGCCCAUUUACAUUUGGGGUUAAUAUUGUUAUGUGUGAAUUUGAUCCUGCCAUUUUGAUGCUAGCUGGCUGUUUUGCCCGUUAGUUGAUGCAGAUUCUUCAUUGUAUUGAUCCUCUUUACCAUUUGGUAUGUUUUUGGAGUGGCUGGUACUGGUUGUUCCUUUCGGUGUUUAGUGCCUCUUUCAGGAGUUCUUGUAAAGCAGGCCUGGUGGUGAUGAAAUCUCUGAGUACUUACUUGUUUGUAAAGGAUUUUAUUUUUCCUUCACUUAUAAAGUUUAGUUUGGCUGGAUAUGAAAUUCUGGGUUGAAAGUUCUUUUCGUCAAGGAUGUUGAAUAUUGGCCCCCACUCUCUUCUGGCUUGUAGGCUUUCUGCUGAGAGAUCUUCUGUGAGUCUGAUGGGCUUCCCUUUGUGUGUAAUCUGGCCUUUCUCUCUGGCUGCCCUUAGCAUUUUCUCCUUCAUUUCAACCCUGGUGAAUCUGAGGAUUAUGUGUCUUGGGGUUGCUCUUCUUGAGGAAUAUCUUUGUGGUGUUCUCUGUAUUUCCUGGACAUGAAUAUUGGCCUGCCUUGCUAGGUUGGGGACGUUUUCUUGGAUAAUAUCCUGAAGAGUAUUUUCCAGCUUGGAUUCAUUCUCUCUGUCACAUUCAGGUGCACCUAUGAAACGUAGAUUAGGUCUCUUCACAUAGUCCCACAUUUCUUGGAGACUUUGUUCAUUCCUUUUUACACUUUUUUCUCUAAUCUUGCCUUCUCGUUUUAUUUCAUUGAGUUGAUCUUCGACCUCUGAUAUCCUUUCUUCUGCUUGGUCAAUUUGGCUGUUGAAACUUGUGUAUGCUUUGUGAAGUUCUCAUGUUGUGUUUUUCAGCUCUAUCAAUUCACUUAUAUUCCUCUCUAAGUUGUUUAUUCUCAUUAGCAUUUUGUCAAAUCUUUUUUCAAAGUUCUUAGUUUCUUUGCAUUGGCUUAGAACAUGUUCUUUUGGCUCAGAGAAGUUUCUUAUUACCCACUUUCUGAAGGUUGAUUCUGUCAAUUCAUCACACUCACUCUCCAUCUAGCCUUGUUUCCUUGCUGUUGACAAGUUGUGACCCCUUGGAGGAGGAGAGGCAUUCUGGUUUCAGGUGUUUUCAUCCUUUUUGCGAUGGUUUCUUCCCAUCUUUGUGGAUUUAUCCACCUGUCGUCUUUGUGGUUGUUGACUUUCAGAUUGCGUCUCUGAGUGGAUGUCCAGUUUUUUGAUAAUGAAGUUAUUUCUUUCUGUUUUUUAGUUUUCCUUCUAACAGGCCCCUCUGCUGUAGGACUGCUGAUGUCCACUCCAGACCCUGCUUGCCUGGCGAUCACCUGCAGCAGCUGCAGAAUGGUAAGGGUUGCUGUCAGUUUCUUCUGCUGCUAUCUUUGUCCCAGAAGGAUACCUGCCAGAUGUCAGUCUGAGCUCUCCUUUAUGAGGUGACUCUUUGGAUAUACAGGGUCAGGGAGCUGUUUGAGGAGACAGUCUGUCCGUUAUAGGAGCUCAAGUACUGAGCUGUGAGCUCUGUUGUUCAUUCAGAGCUGCUGGGCAGGUACGUUUAAGUCUGCUGCAGCAGAACUCAUAUCAUAAACCCUCCCCACUUUGCUUUUUUCCCCUAGAUGCUCUGUCCCAGGGAGUUAGGGCUUUAUUUAUGAGUUUCUGUUGUGUUGCUUCCUUUUUUUUUAGGGUUGUCCUGCUCAGCGAGGAGGUGGCCUAGUCACUGUCAGCCUGCAGAGGCUUUGCUGAGCUGCUGUGGGCUCCACCCAGAUGCCAUGUGAACUUCCCUGCAGUCUUGUUUGUAUGGGUAUAGUUAGAACUGCCUUGGCAAUGGUGGCCCACCUCUAUAAUGGCGGUCUCUCUCUGUUAUGGUGGGCUGCCUCAGCAAUGGCAAACUACCUCCCUAGUGGUGGACUGCCUCAGUAAUGGCAGAUACCCCUCCCCCACAGAGCUGGACUGUUCCAGGUUCUGCAGUGCUUGCUGUGAAAUGCUCAAUAGAGAGCAUUUCCGAUUGCUGUUUUUUUGUGGGGGUGGAACCAGCUGAGCCUGAUCACCUGGCUCCCUGCCUCAGAGCCUUUUUUUCUUUCUUUCUUUAGUUGAAUGGUCGAUUCGGUCUCCCAGGUGUUCCAGUUGUCUGUUGAAAAGGCGCGGGGGUGGGUGGGAGAAGGAUCCAAGAUGGCGGUUUAAGAGCAACCCAGGAUUGCAGCUCCCAUAGAAAACACAGAGGGUGAGUGGAUGCUGCAUUUCCAGACGGAUAUUUAUUGCCCACAGACCAGGAGAUUCCCAGGCAGAGGAGCCCCAGUGGUCGCCAGCACGGCUAUUUUGCUGGUGUCCCAGCACGGCGGUUCUCCAUACAAAAUACACUGGUCUGAUUGCCCUUUUACGCUGGCAAUUGGAGCUCCAGGAAGGUAGAGUCAUCCACUCAUCUGAUUAAACAGGGGACAGAAACAGGGGGCCAGGCCAGGAGAUUCCAAGGCAGCGCUGUUGUUUCAACCAGCACAGUGGGUCACAGCAUGGGAAACCACAUAGAUCCUGGCACCUUUUCAACAGGUGACUGGAACACCUGGGAGAAAGUCAACCAUUCAACCUUAGGAAAAAAAGGCUCUGAGGCAGGGAGCCAGGUAAGCAGGCUUGGCAGGUCCCAUAUCCCCCCCCCAGCCCCCCACAAAAAAAGCAAUUGGAAACGCCCAGGGUUGAGAGUUACAUGGCAAGCACAUCUGAACACGGAACGUCCAGCUCUGUGGGGGAGGGGCGUCUGCCAUUACCAAGCCACUCCAUUCUUACAGAGUUAGUCUGCCAUUGCUGAGGCAGCCCGUUAUUGCCAAGGCAACCUGCCACUACAGAGAGAGUCUGCCAUUACAGAGGUGGGCCACCAUUGCUGAGGCAGUUCUAACCACACCCAUAUAAACAGGACUGCAGGGAAGUUCACAUGGCAGUAGGGCAGAGCCCACAGCAUCUCACCAAAACCUCUGCAGGCAGGCAGUGACUAGGCUGCCUCCUUGCUGGGCAGGGCAGCCCUGGAAAAAAAAAAAGGUGGCAGCACAAUGGAAACUCAUAAAUAAAGCCCUAACUCCCCGGUACAGAGCACCUGGGCAAACAAAGGGGGUUGAUGAGUUCUGCUGAAGCAGACUUAAACGUACCUGCCCAGCUCACAACAGAGCUCACAGCUCAGCACUUGAGCUCCUAUAAAGGACAGACUGUCUCCUUAAGCAGCUCCCUAACCCCCAUAUAUCCAAAGAGUCACCUCAUGAAGGACUGAUCACACUGACAUUUGGCAGGCAUAAUUCUGGGACAAAGCAGAAGAAGAAACUGAUAGCAACCCUUACUGUUCUGCAGCUGCUGUAGGUGAUCCCCAGGCAAGCAGGGCUUGGAGUGGACCUCAGCAGUCCUACAGCAUAGGGGUCAGACUGUUAGAAGGAAAAAUAAGAAACAGAAAUACCUUCAUCAUCGACUGGACGUCCACUCAGACAUCCAAUCUGAAAAUCAGCAACUACAAAGAUGACAGGUGGAUAAAUCCACAAAGAUGGGAAGAAACCAGCGCAAAAAGGAUGAAAACACCCGAAACCAGAAUGCCUCUCCUCCUACAAGAGAUCACAACUUCUCACCAGCAAGGAAACAAAGCUGGUUGGAGAAUGAGUGUGAUGAAAUGACAGAAUCAGACUUCAGAAGGAGGGUAAUGAGAAACUUCUGUGAGUUAAAAGAACAUGUUCUAACCCAAUGCAAAGAAAUAAGAACCUUGAAAAAAGAUUUGAUGAAAUGCUAACGAGAGUGGACAACUUAGGAAUAUAAGUGAAUUGAAGGAGCUGAAAAACACAACACGAGAGCUUCGUGAAGCAUGCACAAGUUCAUCAGCUGAAUUGACCAAGAAGAAGAAAGGAUAUCAGAGGUCGAGGAUCAACUCAAUAAAAUAAAAUGAGAAGGCAAGAUUAGAGAAAACAGCAUAAAAAUGAAUGAACAAAGUUUCCAAGAAAUAUGGGCAUAUGUGAAAAGACCUAAUCUACAUUUGAUAGUUGUACCUGAAUGUGACAGAGAGAAUGAAUCCAAGCUGGAAAAUACUCUUCAGGAUAUUAUCCAGGAAAACUUUCCUAACCUAGCAAGGCAGGCCAAUAUUCAUGUCCAGGAAAUACAGAGAACACCACAAAGAUAUUCCUCAAGAAGAGCAACCCCAAGACACAUAAUCCUCAGAUUCACCAGGGUUGAAAUGAAGGAGAAAAUGCUAAGGGCAGCCAGAGAGAAAGGCCAGAUUACACACAAAGGGAAGCCCAUCAGACUCACAGAAGAUCUCUCAGCAGAAAGCCUACAAGCCAGAAGAGAGUGGGGGCCAAUAUUCAACAUCCUUGACGAAAAGAACUUUCAACCCAGAAUUUCAUAUCCAGCCAAACUAAACUUCAUAAGUGAAGGAAAAAUAAAAUCCUUUACAAACAAGUAAGUACUCAGAGAUUUCAUCACCACCAGGCCUGCUUUACAAGAACUCCUGAAAGAGGCACUAAACACUGAAAGGAACAACCAGUACCAGCCACUCCAAAAACAUACCAAAUGGUAAAGAGGAUCAAUACAAUGAAGAAUCUGCAUCAACUAAUGGGCAAAACAGCCAGCUAGCAUCAAAAUGGCAGGAUCAAAUUCACACAUAACAAUAUUAACCCCAAAUGUAAAUGGGCUACAUGCCCCAAUCAAAAGACACAGACUGGCAAAUUGGAUAAAAAGCCAAAACCCAUCGGUGUGCUGUAUCCAGGAAACCCAUCUCACAUGCAAGGAUACAUAAAGGCUCAAAAUAAAGGGAUGGAGGAAGAUUUACCAAGCAAGUGGAGAGCAAAAAAAAAAAAGCAGGAGUUGCAAUUCUCAUCUCUGAUAAGAUAGACUUUAAAGCAACAAAUAUCAAAAGAGACAAGGACAUUACAUAAUGUCCAUUACAUAAUGCAACAAGAAGAGCUAACGAUCCUAAAAAUAUAGGCACCCAAUACAGGAGCACCCAGAUACUUAAGGCAAGUUCUUAAUGACUUACAAAGAGACUUAGAUGCCCACACAAUAACAGUGGGUAACUUUAGUACCCCAUUGUUAAUAUUAGAUCAACCAGACAGAAAAUUAACAAGGAUAUCCACGACUUGAACUCAGACCAGAACAAGCAAACCUAAUACACAUUUACAGAACGCUCCAUCCCAAAUCCACAGAAUAUACAUUGUUCUCAGCACCACAUCACACCUACUCUAAAAUUGACCACAUAAUUGUAAAUUAAUCACUCCUCAGCAAAUGCAAAAGAACAGAAAUCAUAACAGUCUCUCAAACCACAGUGUAAUCAAGUUAGAACUCAGAAUUCAGAAACUAACUCAGAACCGCACAGCUUCAUGGAAACUGAACAACUGGCUAUUGAAUGUUGACUGGAUAAACAAUGAAAUGAAGGCAGAAAUAAAGAUGUUCUUUGAAACCAACAAGAACAACGACAAAAUAUACCAGAAUCUCUGGGACACAGUUAAAGCAGUCUUUAGAGGAAAAUAUAUAGCAAUACGUGCCCUCAUGAGAAGCAAGGAGAGAUCCAAAAUUGACACCCUAUCAUCAAAAUUGAAAGAGCUAGAGGAGCAAAAUAAAGAAAAAAAAGCUCAAAACCUAGCAGAAGACAAGACAUAACUAAGAUCAGAGCAGAACUGAAGGAAAUAGAGACACAAAAAUCCCUUCAAAAAAUCAAUAAGUUCAGGAGCUGGUUUUUCGAAUAGAUCAACAAAAUAGACCCUAGCCAGAUUAAUAAGAAAGAAAAGAGAGAAUAACCAAAUAAAUGCAAUAAAAAAACGAUAGAGGGGAUAUCACCACAGAUUCCACAGAAAUUCAAACCAUCAUCAGAGAUUAUUACAAACAACUCUUUGCACAUAAACUAGUAAACCUGGAAGAAAUGGAUAAAUUCUUGGACACUUGCCUCCUCCCAAGCCUAAACCAGGAAGAAGCCAAAACGCUGAACAGACCAAUAACAAGAUCUGAAGUUGAGGCAGCAAUUAAGAGCCUACUACAUAAAAAAAAUCCCAGGUCCAAAUGGGUUCAUAGCCGAAUUCUACCACACACACAAAGAGGAGCUGGUACCUUUCCUUCUGAAACUAUUCCAAAUAAUCCAAAAAGAGGGAAUACUUCCCAAAUCAUUUUAUGAGAACAGCAUCAUCCUCAUAUCAAAACCCAGCAGAGACUCAACAAGAAAAGAAAACUUCAAGACAAUAACCAUGAUGAACAUAGAUGAAAAAUCUUCAAUAAAAUACUGGAAAACUGAUGGCAACAGCACAUCAUAAAGCUUAUCCAUCAUGAUCAAGUAGGAUUCAUCCCGGGGAUACAAGGCUGGUUCAACAUACACAAGUCUAUAAACGUAAUUCACCACAUAAACAGAACCAAAGACAAAAACCACAUGAUUAUCUUAAUUGAUGCAGAGAAGGCCUUUGACAAAAUUCAACAGCCCUUUAUGCUAAAAACCCUCAAAAAACUAGGUAUUGAUGGGACAUAUCUCAAAAUAAUAAAAGCUGUUUAUGACAAACCAACAGCCAAUAUCACACUGAAUGGGCAAAAAUUGGAAGCAUUCCCUUUGAAAUCUGGCACUAGAUAAGGAUGCCCUCUCUCACCACUCCUAGUCAGUAUAGUACUGAAAGUUCUAGCCAGAUCAAUCAGGCAAGAAAAAGAAAUAAAGGGUAUUCAAAUAGGAAAGGAGGAAGCCAAACUGUCUCCAUUUGCAGACAAUAUAAUUGUAUACCUAGAUCUCAUUGUCUCAGCCCAAAAUCUCCUGAAAGUGAUAAGCAACUUGAGCAAGGUCUCAGGAUACAAAAUCAAUGUGCAAGAAUCACAAGCAUUUCUGUACACCAAAAACAGACUUAGAGCCAAAUCAAGAAGGAACUACUAUUCACAAUUGCUACAAAGAGAAUAAAACACCCAGGAAUACAACUAACAAGGAAUGUAAAGGACCUCUUCAAGGAGAACUACAAACCACUGCUCAAUGAAAUAAGAGAGGACACAAACAGAUGGAGAAACAUUCCAUGUUCAUGGUUAGGGAGAAUCAAUACCGUGAAAAUGGCCAUACUGCCCAAAGUAAUUUAUAGAUUCAAUUUUAUAUCUCCAUCAAGCUACCAAUGACCUUCUUCACAGAACUGGAAAAAAACCCACCAUGAACUUCAUAUGGAACCAAAAGAGAGCCCACAUAGUUAAGUCAAUUCUAAGCAAAAAGAACACAGCAGGGGGCAUCAUAUUACCAGACUUCAAACUAUACUACAAGGCUACAGUAAUCAAAACAGCAUGAUACUGGUACCAAAACAGAGAUAUAGACCAAUGGAACAGAACAGAGGCUUUGGAGGCAACACAACAUAUCUACAAACAUCUAAUAUUUGACAAACCUGACAAAAACAAGCAAUGGGGAAAGGAGUCCCUGUUUGUUUAAUAAAUGGUGUUGGGAAAACUGGCCAUGUGCAUAAAGCAGAAACUGGACCCCUUCCUGACACCUUACACUAAAAUUAACUCCAGAUGGAUUAAAGACUUAAACAGAAGACCUAACACCAUAAAAACCCUAGAAGAAAACCUAGGCAAAACCAUUCAGGACAUAGGAGUAAGCAAGGACUUCAUGAACAAAACACCAAAAGCAUUGGCAACAAAAGCCAAAACAGAUAAAUGGGACCUAAUCAAACUCCACAGCUUCUGCAUGGCAAAAGAAACAGUCAUUAGAGUGAAUCGGCAACCAACAGAAUGGGAAAAAUUUUUGCAGUUUACUUAUCUGACAGAGGGCUGAUAUCCAGAAUUUACAAAGAACUAAAACAGAUUUACAAGAAAAAAACAAGCCCAUUCAAAAGUGGGCAAAGAAUAUGAACAGACACUUUACAAAAGAAGACAUACAUGAGGCCAAUAAACAUAUGAAAAAAUGCUCAUCAUCACUGGUCAUUAAAGAAAUGCAAAUCAAAACUACAUUGAGGUACCAUCUCAUGCCAGUUAGAAUGGCAAUCAUUAAAAAAUCUGGAGACAAUAGAUACUGGAGAGGAUAUGGAGAAAUAGGAACACUUUUACACUGCUGGUGGGAGUGUAAAUCAGUUCAACCAUUGUGAAAGACAGUGUGGCAAUUCCUCAAGGACCAAGAAAUAGGAAUUCCAUUUGACCCAGCAAUUCCAUUACUGGGUAUAUAUCCAGAGGAUUAUAAAUCAUUCUACUAUAAGGACACAUGCACACGAAUGUUCAUUGCAGCAGUGUUUGCAAUAGCAAAGACCUGGAACCAACCCAAAUGUCCAUCAAUGAUAGACUGGAUAGGGGAACUGUGGCACAUAUACACUAUGGAAUAUUAUGCAGCCAUCAAAAACGAUGAGUUCAUGUCCUUUGUAGGGACAUGGAUGAACCUGGAGACCAUCAUUCUCAGCAAACGUACACAAGAACAGAAAAUGAAAUACCGCAUGUUUUCACUCAUAGGCAGGUGUUGAACAAUGAGAACACAUAGACACAGGGAGGGGAGCACUACACACUAGGGUUUGUUGGGGGGAAUAGGGGAGGGACAGUGGGGGGUGGGGAGUUAGGGAGCGAUAGCAUGGGGAGAAAUGCCAGAUAUAGGUGAAGGGGAGGAAGUCAACAUAUCACACUGCCACGUGUGUACCUAUGCAACUAUCUUCAUGUUCUUCAUAUGUACCCCAAAACCUAAAAUGCAAAAAAAAAAAGGUGCCGGGAUCUGUGUGAUUUCCUGUGCGGCAACCCACUGCCGGGGGCUGAUACAGUGGCACUGAGAUUCGUAGUGCUUUUUUGCCCAGGAAUCUCCUGGCUUGGUUCACUGUUUCAGUCCCCUUUUUAAUCAGAUGAAUGGGAAUUCUGCCUUCCUGGAGCUCCAAUCGCCAGCUAAAAUGGCCCCACACCCAUGUAUUUUGUAGGUCAAACUGCUGCACCAGGGUGCCGGAAAAACAGCCUCGCCUGCCAAAACAGCCAUGCCAGUGACCCGUGGGGCUUCUCUGCCUGGGAAUCUCCUGGUCUGUGGGCAAUAAAAAUCCAUCUGGAAAUGUGGCAUCCACUCACCCUCUGUGUUUUCACUUGGCACAGCAAUCUUGAGCUGCUCCUAAUCUGCCAUCUUGGCUCUCAUUCCUGCUAGUGAUUUUUGCACAUUGAUUUUGUAUCCUGAGACUUUCCCAAAGUUGUUUAUCAGUUUGAGAAGAUUUUGGGCUGAGGAUGGGGUCUUGUACAUAUACAAUUAUGUCAUCUGCAAAUAAAGACAAUUUGACUUUCUCCUUUCCUAAUCGAAUGCCCUUUAUUUAUUUUUUUCCUUGCCUGAAUGCUCUGGCUAGAACUUCCAAUACUAUGUUGAAUAGGAGUGGUGAGAGAGGGCAUCCUCGUCUACUGCCUGAUUUCAAAGGAAAUUCUUCUAGCUUUUUCCCAUUCAGUAUGAUAUUGGCUAUAGGUUUGUUAUAUAUAGCUUUUAUCAAAAUUAACUCCAGAUGGAUCAAAGAUUUAAACAUAAAACAUAGCAUCAUAAAAAUACUAGAAGAAAGCAUAGGCAAUAUUGAGGACAUAGGCAUAGGCAAGGACUUCAUGACUAAAACAACCAAAAGCAAUGGCAGUAAAAGCCGGGAUAGACAAGUGGGAUCUAAUUAAACUCCAGAGCUUCUGCACAGCAAAAGAAACCAUCAUUAGAGUGAAUCAAUAACCAACAGAAUGGGAAAAAAGUUUUUCCAAUUUACCCAUCUGACAAAGGACUAAUAUCCAGAAUCUACAAAGAACUAAAACAUAUAUACAAGAAAAAAACAACCUUAUUCAAAAGUGGGCAGAGGAUAUGAACACUUUUCAAAAGAGGACAUAUAUGAAGCCAACAAACAUAUGAAAAAAUGCUCAUCAUCACUGGUCAUUAGAGAAAUGCAAAUCAAAACUACACUGAGAUAUCAUCUCACACCAGUUAGAACGGUGAUCAUUAAAAAAUCUGGAGACAACAGAUGCUGGAGACGAUGUGGAGAAAUAGGAACACUUUUACACAGUUUGUGGGCAUGUAUUAGUUCAUCCAUUGUGAAAGACAGUGUGAUGAUUUCUCAAGGAUCUAGAAUAUUUGACCCAGCAAUCCCACUAUUGGAUAUAUACCCAAAGAACUAUAAAUUAUUCUACUAUAAAGACACAUGCACACGUAUGUUCAUUGCAGCUCUGUGUACAAUAGCAAAGACCUGGAACCAACCCAAAUGCCCAUCAAUGAUAGACUGGACAAAGAAAAUGUGGUACAUAUACCCCAUGCAAUACUACGCAGCCAUAAAAAACAAUGAGUUCGUGUCCUUUGUAGGGACUUGGAUGAAUCUGGAAACCAUCAUUCUCAGCAGAUUGACCCAAGAACAGAAAGCCAAACACUGCAUGUUCUCAGUCAUAGGUGGGUGUUGAACAAUGAGAACACCUGGACUCAGGGAGAGGAGCAUCAC